rnacentral:rRNA from 1 species
AGACCCGAAACCCGGUGAUCUAGCCAUGGGCAGGUUGAAGGUUGGGUAACACUAACUGGAGGACCGAACCGACUAAUGUUGAAAAAUUAGCGGAUGACCUGUGGCUGGGGGUGAAAGGCCAAUCAAACCGGGAGAUAGCUGGUUCUCCCCGAAAGCUAUUUAGGUAGCGCCUCGUGAAUUCAUCUCCGGGGGUAGAGCACUGUUUCGGCUAGGGGGCCAUCCCGGCUUACCAACCCGAUGCAAACUGCGAAUACCGGAGAAUGUUAUCACGGGAGACACACGGCGGGUGCUAACGUCCGUCGUGAAGAGGGAAACAACCCAGACCGCCAGCUAAGGUCCCAAAGUCAUGGUUAAGUGGGAAACGAUGUGGGAAGGCCCAGACAGCCAGGAUGUUGGCUUAGAAGCAGCCAUCAUUUAAAGAAAGCGUAAUAGCUCACUGGUCGAGUCGGCCUGCGCGGAAGAUGUAACGGGGCUAAACCAUGCACCGAAGCUGCGGCAGCGAACGUAUCACCCAAGACAACUUUACGGAGUUGACGAUUGACGGAGCGAAGCGACGUCAAAGCGUUCAUUAAAGUCGAGUUGGCUUAGGGAUACGUUCGUUGGGUAGGGGAGCGUUCUGUAAGCCUGUGAAGGUGUGUCGUGAGGCAUGCUGGAGGUAUCAGAAGUGCGAAUGCUGACAUAAGUAACGAUAAAGCGGGUGAAAAGCCCGCUCGCCGGAAGACCAAGGGUUCCUGUCCAACGUUAAUCGGGGCAGGGUGAGUCGACCCCUAAGGCGAGGCCGAAAGGCGUAGUCGAUGGGAAACGGGUUAAUAUUCCCGUACUUGGUGUUACUGCGAAGGGGGGACGGAGAAGGCUAUGUUGGCCGGGCGACGGUUGUCCCGGUUUAAGCGUGUAGGUGUGUGUUCCAGGUAAAUCCGGUUCACUUUAACACUGAGGCGUGACGACGAGGCACUACGGUGCUGAAGCAACAAAUGCCCUGCUUCCAGGAAAAGCCUCUAAGCAUCAGGUAACACGAAAUCGUACCCCAAACCGACACAGGUGGUCAGGUAGAGAAUACCAAGGCGCUUGAGAGAACUCGGGUGAAGGAACUAGGCAAAAUGGUGCCGUAACUUCGGGAGAAGGCACGCUGACACGUAGGUGAAGUGAUUUACUCAUGGAGCUGAAGUCAGUCGAAGAUACCAGCUGGCUGCAACUGUUUAUUAAAAACACAGCACUGUGCAAACACGAAAGUGGACGUAUACGGUGUGACGCCUGCCCGGU